GACGAACGCUGGCGGCGUGCUUAACACAUGCAAGUCGAACGAUGAAGAAGAGAAACGCGAACUUCGGUUCAAAUUUCACUUCGGAUUAGUGGCAGACGGGUGAGUAACGCGUGAGCAACCUACCUCUUACAAAGGGAUAGCCUCGGGAAACCGUGAUUAAUACCAUAUGACACAUUCAUAAGGCAUCUUAAGAAUGUUAAAGCUACGGCGGUAAGAGAUGGGCUCGCGUCCCAUUAGCUAGUUGGUGAGGUAACGGCCCACCAAGGCGACGAUGGGUAACCGGGCUGAGAGGGUGAACGGUCACAUUGGAACUGAGACACGGUCCAAACUCCUACGGGAGGCAGCAGUGGGGAAUAUUGCACAAUGGAGGGAACUCUGAUGCAGCGACGCCGCGUGGGCGAUGAAGGAAUUCGUUUCGUAAAGCUCUGUUCUAUGGGAAGAAAAGGACUGUACCAUAGGAGAAAGCCCCGGCUAAAUACGUG
rnacentral:rRNA from 1 species